UAAGGAAUAUUGCACAAUGGGGGAAACCCUGAUGCAGCCAUGCCGCGUGAGUGAAGAAGGCCUUCGGGUUGUAAAGCUCUUUCAGGUGGGAUUAUUAUGAACGUACCACCAGAAGAAGCCCCGGCUAACUCCGUGCCAGCAGCCGCGGUAAUACGGAGGGGGCGAGCGUUGUUCGGAAUCACUGGGCGUAAAGCGUGCGUAGGCGGUUUUGUAAGUCAGAAGUGAAAGCCUAGGGCUUAACCCUAGAACUGCUUUUGAAACUACAUCACUAGAGUCCCGGAGGGGUCAAUGGAAUUCCGAGUGUAGCAGUGAAAUGCGCAGAUAUUCGGAGGAACACCAGUGGCGAAGGCGAUUGGCUGGACGGGAACUGACGCUGAGGCACGAAAGCGUGGGGAGCAAA
rnacentral:rRNA from 1 species